rnacentral:rRNA from 1 species
UACGAGGGGGCAAGCGUUGUUCGGAAUUAUUGGGCGUAAAGGGGUGCGUAGGCGGUUUGACAAGUCUGAUGUGAAAUCUAUGGGCUCAACCCAUAGUCUGCAUCGGAAACUGUCGGGCUGGAGUAUGGGAGAGGUGAGGUGGAAUUUCCGGUGUAGCGGUGAAAUGCGUAGGAUAAUCGGAAGGAACACCUGUGGCGAAAGCGGCUCAACUGG